GCCAUGGCAGCCGGCGAGGCAUGAAUGAGUGACAGCAUCACAAAGACGAGUGGAGGAAUGGGAGGAAUGAAGCCACAGUGACUGACUGCUGGGAACAGGUGCACUGAGAGACGUCUUCAUGCUGAAGGCAGGGGAGAGGAGACGGAAAUGGACUGCAGGACUGAAACAGAAACUGAUUCUGGGACGAGCUUCCUGGGUGAGAGGGAGGAAAGAUGUAAGCGUGUGACUCUGCAGGUCUGGAACCGCCGGGAUGAUGUUCACCUUGUCUGAGUUUCGUCGAGCUGCUGGCCUCCAUGCCGCAUGGAAAAGUCUCGGUGUAAGAAGCCGAUUGGCCUCAUUUCAGUGAGAGGAGCAGCGAUCAGGAGGCAGACGAAGCAAAACGGCACAAAAUGAGUGGAACGACCUGGAACUUGUCUGAAUAAAUGUACUUCUAGAAGUACUUUUACUACACCAUACGUUUUACUUUUACUUGAGUC